rnacentral:lncRNA from 1 species
AUUUUAACCAUCAGUUUACACAUACUUCUCUCCUGUGAGACUGUGAAUUCUUCAAAAGCAGGUACUGUGUUUAAUGAAGUGUGCCCAGGACUUUGCUCAGUGACUGGAUGACACAGUAGGAGUAACAAGAAAGUUCACAUGGGUGAACCGUGGUAGGUGGACAUCGUCUCUCUCACCUCUUCCCAAAUCAAGGAUGAAGUACAUCUUCAUAAAUCCUCAUGUGAAUUAUUUUGCUACCUCUAGAAGCAUUUUCUAAAACAAGGUGCAGCAAUCAGUUGAGUGAAUUUGUCACCAGAGCUUAUGUUUUCUGAAAGAACCCUAUCCUCAGGCAGUUGUUCCUAAGAGGUGAGUUGUGGAUUUAGUUCACAUACCUUCCUUCGUGGCUUAAAAUGCUCCACAUGCCUGUCUCCCCAACAGCAUCAGAUCACCAUGCAGUAAAAUACCAAGUCAGAACAGCCAAUGCUGAAAAGAGUGACAGUUUCCUUUCAUGAUGCAAUGCACUUGGAGCCAGGGGACAGGGAGACAAUAACUGCAAGGAGAAGUGAUGACAACCCUACUUUAAUAUAGUAGUUCCUUUUGAAUUUUAUAGACUUACCCGUUAAUCUCUAGAAUUUUGAAAAAAUUCCUUAAGUGAUGUGAGCAAAUAACACUUUGCCUUGGGUUAGCCUUUUCCUUUCCCUUGAAGAUUCCACAAAUAUGUCAGCGCUGGAAAUGAUCCUUUGGCUUUGAACUAUGUGAAGACUGCAGAAGGACUGGUUGGUAAGCACCCACAUCCUGGGGUGAGAAUCACAUCCAGUUUAUACCUCCCUGUGCACACUUGUAUAAAACAACUAUAAGACACACGAGAGAUCUGGAAGCCAGUUCCUCAUAAGUAAGAAUUGGUCAGGCUGCAUUUGUAUCCUGGGUCCACAAGACAUCGUUUCCUUAAAACCAAUCCCCCUGAUUUUGCUAAGUGUCUGCAAGCCUAAUAUUUCAUGGAUGUUUGACAAGGACCCCGUCUUUAGCUGAACUAAGGAGAAAGUCCUGCAACACACACAUGGAGCUCAGCAAACGGAGGAUGUAGACCCCACUGGAAAUCGGACUGUUCAACUCACCU